AGGGUUAUAAUACUCGUAUGUGCCUUCCCAAACAGGUGUCUUCCCCACCAUCAGUGUUAAUGUUCCAGAAAGCAAGCAAUCCAAUUUCAAACCCAAGUUCUGUUAACAAUUUUAAUGAUCAGGAGGAGCAAGGAGCUAGCAUUCGAAGUUGGUUUCACAAUCCUGAAACAUAUGGCGAAAAGCACACAUCUUCCUUGCAUAUUCUCAGAAGGGAUGAUCAGUGGGGCAUGGGUUCUUUUAGCAAGUCUUGUGGGCCCAUUCAACAUGGUAUUUCACCUCUUGUAGCUCAAUCAACAUUUAGGCGUGGUCAAGAUAUAGUGUCUUCAUGUAAAAGCAGCUGCAGACUAUUCGGUUUCCAGUUGACCGAGGAUAGGCACGUUGCUAAUAAGGAUGAUAAUAGCUCCAUUCCUGUGACAUCUCUGAAUCUUGGAUCUCCCUUUCUGCCUCACGGUGGAGAUCAGUUCCAUCUGAAGCCUCCAGCAAUAACCAAUGCAGUGGGGAGCAACUGUACCAAAGGAAUUCUGCAAAAGAAUCCUGAAAACUAUGAUAUAUACUAAAGGAUGUAGUAGUUGCACCUGAGGCUACAGAAGAGAAUAUGCCUGCAGUUGCAUGGAUAAAACACAAUUAUCUUCUUCUGAAAAGAAAAUGUAAUUAAUCUCCUGAGUUAACUCGGUCGUCUUCUAACUCCCUCGGCUAUGCAAAUGAGCUGUUUGUACUAAUGUAUUAGGUUCUCAUUGACAAGCCAUUUUAAAGAAUUGCCAGUCUGUUUUUGCUGUUUCAAUCCAACAUGGAAUUGUUAUAAUUAUUUUGUUGAUUAUUGAAUUGCUGAUAUGUUUUUUUUUUAACAGAAUAAUUCUGAAUUCAGCAUCAGCAGCAAACAAAACAUAUCAGCAAUUCAAUAAUGAAACUGAACCAACAAAAUAAUUAUAAC
rnacentral:misc_RNA from 1 species